rnacentral:lncRNA from 1 species
CUUCAGAAGCUUUGUGAAACUCAGACAGAUACAGAGGCGUUCGGGCGGAGCUGUUGCAAUUCUACGUGAGUUUAAGCCAGAGACUCGAGUUCUUUAUUCUUUUUUUUUUUUUCUUUUUACCGAAGUACAGCAAAAUCUUUGUUUCUGCAUCAGCACACCUCAGCGUUAAAUAGCCUUUCUGAAACACAGGAUCAUGCCUACGUGGAGCUGAUUUUCAACAGAGAAUGCCUACUGAGCAAUAAUCAAGAUCAACCAGAAACAUUCAGUUUCAAUCCCAUGGCAGGAAUUGAAAAGAGGAGGAAGAGACCAGCGUGAUAUUCUUCAAAAGCAGAAUUUAUUGAUAAAUUUUGUAGAAUUAAACAUAGAUAUGAACUGGCCAUAUUCAUAAAUAGGAAAGUGUUACUUUCACAUAUAAUCCCAAAGUCCUUUAAGAAAAGAUUCCAUAGUUAUUAUAAGAAUCACUAUUUUUGUUCACGGACACAUAGAUAAUAAUUUAGUAUCUGAAAAGUCCCUUAGAGGUCAUCAAGAAAAAGCCACUUAUUUUUCAGAAGAGGAAAAUGAAGUAUAGAAAUUUUUAAAUAAUUGCUCCAACAUUUGAAAGCUGUGAAAUGAUAGAGGCAGGAUAAAAAUUCAGAUCCUCUAACUAAAUCCAGUGUUCUUUUUUUUUUACACUAGUACCAUAUGCCUUAAUUUCCCAAAUAAUAUUUAAUUGAAGAAGACACCAUGGUGUAGGAGAGAACUGGCCUUAGAGCCAAGAAGAUAGGGGACUACUUACUGGUUAAUCACUUAACCUUUAGUGUAGCUCUCUAAGACUAUACAUUUUUUCCCCUUGUUUAAUUGAUAUUUUGUUUUAUUUCUUUCUUUCUUUUUAACUAGGGUUUUUUUUUUCCCCAAAUACAUGCAAUACAAAUUUCCAUAUGAGUUUUCUGAAGUUAUAUAAUCUAAAUUGUAAGACUAUAUUUUCUAACAAGAGUGCCAACCUGUAUUAGUAGAGGUAGUUUUCUCAUCUGGCAGUCCUCUAUAUGAAUGAAAUCACAGAUUUAGUCCCUGUCACUGAAACAAUUGAACUGUAAACUCUUUAAGGUUAUUCUUUGAAACUGUUUUGUGUUCAUAUGCACCCAUAGUCAAUCAAUAAAUAUUUGAUGAAUUGAAAUGUAGUGUUUGAU